GGAACCCUUGCUUACCUAGAUAACGUCACAUUUUAUGGGGAUGAUGAUUAAAAUUCUUUAUAAAUGCUGCGGAGCGGCAAGGUUUACCGGAAUAUGUUCACAGCGACAGAGGAUCUUUCUUUUUGGCUAAUGAACUGAGACAGUUUCUUACAAGAAAGGGUAUAGCGACUAGCAACACGACACAUUAGCACCCGAAAGGGAAUUUAGCUAUCAAGAAAUCUGCCCGGGAGUGCUUGGGAGGAAGUUCAGCCAGACGCUCUACAUGCGACAAGAUCACUUCUCUGAACCUCCAUUGGUACUACGCCACAUAAUCGCUUGUUCAAUUUUGAAAGACGGUCUAUGCUUGGAAAGUCCGGACCAGACUGGCUUUUGAAUGGCGGUAACCCGUUCUGUGAAGAAGUUGAACUCCUUGAAGCUAACACCAAGUACUUGUUAAUUCGUUAUCCCAAUGGUCGAGAAUCCUCGACACCAAUGGCGCGAUUCCCUAAAACUGUACAAUCGGAUGGCAAGCAAUUGGAAAUUGAAAAGUCUGAACCCGUAUCGGAUUCAUCUCAUCAGGAUGCGCCAUCCAGUUUUGAGAAUCCCGAUGAAGAGCGAUGACACAAUUCCUUCUGAUUAUUUAGUUAAGUAGCAGAUGAAACUUCUUCUUCAAUGAAGAAGGAAGAGAUGUCGAUUCGUCGGUCGAGUCGUUUAAAAUAGGCGUCUGAUCGUUAUGGAGACUGGGCCUCGUGAUUGUGUGAUUUUCGAAUUCCUUUAUUUCAGAUUUGAGUUUUUAUUUCAAUAUUUGAGUAAUAAAUAUACUUUUAUUGUUUUACUUUUA